CACGGCUAUAUCAGCCAACUCACACAACAACAAACACAUUCACACACACAACACCUAAAACACACACACACUUCACGCCAUUUUCAUUUUAGCUUGAGCUCAAGCUUUUGACUUCCGAUUUGAGCACCGAGACGAGCGCCGAUCAUCUUUUCGAUCACGUAUCUAAGUAGGUUGAGCUGAUGUGAUGAUGGUGCUGCAAUGAGCGGAGUCUCCAGGGUUGUUAAUAAAUAGUUAACCUGUCUAGAAUAUGUCUUCAUACAUAUGUCUAGCUACUUUCCGCUGCAAGAUGUUGUUGAUGUUAUAGUAUGUUAUGUCAUACUUUGAGUCUUAAGAGAAUGGUUUCAUAUGAUGUAUAACUUGAUUAAUGAUAUUAAUUAAGUUUUAUGCUGUC